AGUGAACGCUGGCGGUAGGCCUAACACAUGCAAGUCGAACGGCAGCACAGUAAGAGCUUGCCCUUACGGGUGGCGAGUGGCGGACGGGUGAGGAAUACAUCGGAAUCUACUUUUUCGUGGGGGAUAACGUAGGGAAACUUACGCUAAUACCGCAUACGACCUACGGGUGGAAGCAGGGGAUCUUCGGACCUUGCGCGAUUGAAUGAGCCGAUGUCGGAUUAGCUAGUUGGCGGGGUAAAGGCCCACCAAGGCGACGAUCCGUAGCUGGUCUGAGAGGAUGAUCAGCCACACUGGAACUGAGACACGGUCCAGACUCCUACGGGAGGCAGCAGUGGGGAAUAUUGGACAAUGGGCGCAAGCCUGAUCCAGUCAUACCGCGUGGGUGAAGAAGGCCUUCGGGUUGUAAAGCCCUUUUGUUGGGAAAGAAAAGCAGCAGGUUAAUACCCCGCUGUUCUGACGGUACCCAAAGAAUAAGCACCGGCUAACUUCGUG
rnacentral:rRNA from 1 species